CCUACGGGAGGCAGCAGUGGGGAAUAUUGCACAAUGGGGGAAACCCUGAUGCAGCGACGCCGCGUGAAGGAAGAAGUAUUUCGGUAUGUAAACUUCUAUCAGCAGGGAAGAAAAUGACGGUACCUGACUAAGAAGCCCCGGCUAACUACGUGCCAGCAGCAGCGGUAAGACGUAGGGGGCAAGCGUUAUACGGAUUUACUGGGUUUAAAGGGAGCGUAGGCGGCGAUGUAAGUCAGAAGUGAAAGCCCGGGGCUCAACUCCGGGACUGCUUUUGAAACUGUGUUGCUAGAUUGCAGGAGAGGUAAGUGGAAUUCCUAGGGUAGCGGUGACAUGCGUAGAUAUUAGGAGGAACACCAGUGGCGAAGGCGGCUUACUGGACUGUAAAUGACGCUGAGGCUCGAAAGCGUGGGGAGCAAACAGGAUUAGAUACCCUUGUAGUC
rnacentral:rRNA from 1 species